AAUUAAUUUAGACAAUGUUUAUUUCAUAAUUUACUGCUACAUUCCAUCAGGGUAUUUGUUUUGAUGCUAUGACAGUCCGGCAGCUAAAACAUAUCUUUGAAAAAAAACUCUAAUGCUUAUAGUCUUGUAACAUAUAUAUUUAAUGCACAUAACAAAGAUAUUGCAAAAAACCUCCACCUACCCACAAACUGAUAUAUGCAUAAUUUCUGAAACACAUACCAUAUAUAAAAAUAUACCUCUAUGUUGGCUGUGAUGUUUUCAGCUCUAAGAAAACUUGAGUUUGUAAGAUACCAGAAAGUAACUAUCUUAGGCCCUGUGGGG
rnacentral:lncRNA from 1 species